GAUGAACGCUGGCGGCGUGCCUAAUACAUGCAAGUCGAGCGAACAGAUAAGGAGCUUGCUCCUUUGACGUUAGCGGCGGACGGGUGAGUAACACGUGGGUAACCUACCUAUAAGACUGGAAUAACUCCGGGAAACCGGGGCUAAUGCCGGGUAACAUUUAGAACCGCAUGGUUCUAAAGUGAAAGAUGGUUUUGCUAUCACUUAUAGAUGGACCCGCGCCGUAUUAGCUAGUUGGUAAGGUAACGGCUUACCAAGGCAACGAUACGUAGCCGACCUGAGAGGGUGAGCGGCCACACGGGAACUGAGAAACGGUCCAGACGCCUACGGGAGGCAGCAGUAGGGAAUCUUCCGCAAUGGGCGAAAGCCUGACGGAGCAACGCCGCGUGAGUGAUGAAGGGCUUCGGAUCGUAAAACUCUGUUAUUAGGGAAGAACAAAUGUGUAAGUAACUGUGCACGUCUUGACGGUACCUAAUCAGAAAGCCACGGCUAACUACGUG
rnacentral:rRNA from 1 species